ACUUCCACCUUCCCACCUGGGCCAGCGAGAGAUGCGAUCUACACAGAGUGAAAGACAGAAAGAGGGAGGGGAAUGAAGAGAAAGAGGAAGAAGACAUGAGGCAGAGCAGGUGUGAGUUACCAUCACAGGCAGCAUGGUGUUGCAUUUGGGCUGGGUCCGUGUCUGUGUGUGAGAGAGAGAGCUGAAGCAGAAGCAGUCAGAGAGAGUGGAGUUAAACGGAGCAUGUCCUCCGCUGAUUCUGUGGAGACCAACACCAUCUGCUUUUAGCCUCUACAAACGCAUCUCUGUUUUUCCGCCUCUCGUAUUUUUCUCUCCGCUGAGAAUAGAACACCUGCUAAAGUAACAAUCACUGGUCUGGAGCAACCAUGUUCAGCACUUCCUGUUUACUGUGUGAGGUCUGGACAGCGGGCAGCACCAAGAGCCCAUCAAGUACAGGUGCUCUCGAGUAAAGAGAACUCACUUUUAAGUGGUACCUUAAUUUUUCAUAAGCUCACAAAAAAGACAAAACUUAUAGAAAGGACACUGUCAACACAAUCCCCGACUUCACAGACAAGACGUAUGCCAAGUCCCAGACUAAGAUGCAUGUUUUAGCAACUUAUAAUAUGUCAGAGUCAUUGUUUUGUCUCAAGAUGCACACCAGUAAUGUUUUUUUCGAAAGCUACUUAAAUGCCGUAAUUGAACUGAGGCCUUAUCCUUAAUCUAAACCCUGUCUGUGAAACCAGGCCAAUGUGUUUUACUAAUAAAAUAAUACUUCCAUCUGAAAACGUUUAAUCAUACAUUAAACAUACCAUGCUAUAUUGA